GUUAUAAAACAGUGCCAAUGUUUUCAUGAAGGGGAGUAAGACUUGUGGUAUAACAUAUCUUAAAUACAAGCUAGCAAUAAUUACUGCUUUUUAGUAUGGAUAGAGUUUUGGAAUUAUUAUUGGAGUGACUUUUGAGAUAUUAAUUACUGUGGCUGAAGGAUAUAAAUGUGUGAUUAUUUCUCCAUACUCCUAAAUUAGAGAUGUUGUGAAGAUUCUUAACAUGUUGACAGCUGGGCGCUAUCUCUUCAGAAGACAUAAGAUUCAAAAUCCCCAUUCUGACACUGACAUGACUGCCAAUCUGUGUAUCCUGCCUUAGUAUUAUGCACUACCAAACAGAUACCUUACUUUGACAUGUAUUUUACUGCUUGUCUGAAGAAGACCAAGAGUGACCAUAUUUCCUUUUGGGUCUUUCUAACUCUACCAAACAGUUUCCAAUAUGAACAGUUCAUAUAAAUCUUGCAUACUUCUUCUUGUAUCAUAUGCAUUUUUUUUUAUGGAUUAAACUGUAAAACUAUUGUAAUUUUAGCACUACCAGAGUAAAUGAACUGUUUUACAAAGCAUUUAUUUAAUUUUUCAUGCAUUGAGUUAUGCCAAAUCCAAAAAAAUAGUAGAAUGUUGAUGAAACAUCUUACUUUCAAGGAAUGUAAAAUAAAAGUUUCUGUAAAACAAUAAUUUGUGUACUAAAUGUAAUGUAAAAUUUUGUAUAUUAUUGAAUUCAUAUGAAACUUUUUUCUUCUUCUGUUGGAUAGUUAGUGGUUCAAAUAUAUGACAAUUAAGCAUAGAAAUAACCAAAAAGAAACAAAUUACUCUUUCCUAAAUCUUCUAUAUGCACUUUUAUAUGUAAAUGUGUGUUACAGCCUAAAUUGACCUGAAUUUAUUUUUAGUCAUGCAUCGCCUUGGACCAUUUCCUAACUUUGUGGUAUGCUAUUGUAACUUUUCCAUCCAGAAAGAAUUAUUUAUGGCAAAAUUGCUUUUAAUUUGGUGGACAAAAUUACAACUGUUUAGAAGCACCCCUAUUUUAUUUAAUACAUGUACAUAAAACAACAAGCCCCCUAUUAGUAUAUGGUGAAAUGGGAUAAAAUCAACUUGGUUGUCAGAAUUUGUGAUUAUCUCCCCUUAUUAAAAAGAACCUAUGCCAGUGUAGGAAUUUUACAGGAAAUAUUUUGCCUCAAGUCUUAAAAUAGGCCUAAAUCAAACUUGAUUCAUCAAACACCUUGUUUUAAAACUUAGCAGAACAGUUAAUAUAUAUGCUGGUCAAUGCCCGUCCUCUGCAAAUUGGAUAACUGUAAAGAAAGUCAUUAAAUGAUAAACAAUUGUUUCUUUGAUCUAAAAAAAUGAAUUUAAACGGGUAGGGGUAUACAAUAAUCAGCUAAUGCAAAGGUUGUCUGAUUUGAUUUCAGUAAAUGUCAAUAAAUAGGCUUUAAAUUUUAUGAUGAAAAAUAAGGGGAGAUAAUUUUGACAUUGUAGAAUCCUGACUGCAAAAGUAGUAGGAAUGAAAAUUUCCAUAUUUUUUAUCUUAACAGCAUGCUAGGCUUAUUUUGAAUAAUGAAUUUACAAAAAAGUAUAAAUUUCGAAAGUUAUUGUUAAUUGGAAAAUGAAUGAGAGGUUUCCUGAUGUUGAUUUUAACUUCAUCUUUUGAGGAACAUUUUUAUGCAUUUGGUUCUAACCUAACCUCAAUAAGUAAAUUCGUAGUUUCCAUUUUCAUUUAAAAUUAAUUGCAUAAAUUUACUUUAGGUAAAAAAAUAACAUCAUUGUAGACAUAUAUCUUGUUCAUUUGAGUCUUUUAAAGGCUAUCUCUUUACUCUAAGAUGUUUUUUUCAAACCCCUAAAAAAAGUUUGCUAAACUGACCUGUAAAAUAAGAUUUUUCUUUCUUUAAUUCGUAAUUAUCCAAUAUAUGGAUCUAUUUGUCCAUCAAUAUCUCCAAUUCAAAUCUCCAAUAUUUAAUCCCUAAAGUUCAUGCCUCAGGUAUAUAUAUGUAAAGUUGAGUUACAUUAAAACAGAAUUUAAGGUUUCAGCAACACCUGAGGGAUUGCUGCAGUAAUUUAAUAAGAUAGACAAGUUUUGGUUACCCUGAUCAGGAUUAAAACUACAGAAGAGCAAAAAAUUCCUAAGUGAUGAUGUGUUCUUCACAAUUUGUCACCAUAAGAAGAAAUUACAAAUAGAGAGUGAGUGAAGGUAUGACAGUGAACUGGAUUAAGAAUGUUAAAUAAAAUAUGUUUUUGCAAAUUUGGACGACAAUUAAUUGGAAUUAUGUACCAUUUCAACAAUAGAAGUAGUGUAGACUUGCAAAUCCAUACCAUUACAACACUGGAAGUAGUAUGGUUGUCUGAGCGAAGCCAAUUGGAAGUAUGUACCUCUUAGUGAAGCUAAUUUGGAGCACACCCUCUGUCUUGUUGUGAAGCUGAUUGGAAGCAGUACAUAUAUACCUCUGUCUGCUAAAGCUAAUUAGAAGCAGUACCCCUGGCAGAAAGGUCCCAAUUAGAAGUACGUUACUCUGAGGGAAGCCAAUUGGAAGCAUGUACCUCUGCAAAAUUUGAUUAAACAAUAUUAAACAAAUUUUAUUUAACAUUCUUUUUAAAGUUUACUUGCAUACCAACUCUCAUUUUCUAUUUAUAAUUACUCCCCUUGUUGACAUUGUGACGUGCAAAUUAUCACUUCACCAUUUAGUAGAUCAUUCUAAUAAAUUACUACAACACACGAUCAAGUAUUGUUAUAAGGGUAAAAUACUUUAUUAAUUUUAGUUUAUGCACCUUUAAAUGAUAACUAAACGCAUUUUUUGGAAGCUAAGGUUCCUCAAGGUCUAUAGGGAGAACGAUAUAAAUUUGCUGUGAAGGGCAUAUGAUACAUUAACAGGGGAGGUAAUGACUUUGCUACUGUCAAAUGUUACUUUUAGCCAUGUCAAAUAUUUACAUAUAAGGGAAAGACCCAUUUUUUGACUGAUUUAACAUGAAAAUGAAUUCACGGACCUCUCUUUUUAAAAAUCACAUUAGGCUUGAAUAUGUUUAAAGAUUAUUUGUGCCAAUUUGAAGAAACCACCAAUGGAAUUGUUCUAAAUAAGAUAAAUAUGCAUCCAAAAAUGACGUUUCUUUUACUGAAAUCGUGACAAUAUGUUGUUACACAAAUUUAACUCAAAACACACUUAACAUGUAGAGAUGAUAUUCCAAGUUUUUUUUUUAUUACAAACCUCCCCUUGUGUUUAUAUUUUAUGACUAAAAAGUUCAGUAAGUCUUUCCAUUACAUGGAAAUAUCCAAGAAACCUAAAGGUCCAGUAAUUGUCUAAUAUUUGACUGCUCAUCUAUUAAUGUAGCACAUGAAGGUACAUGUAUUAUUACAUAUUUGAAUUGACUAGCCUAGGUGAAUAAAUAGCUUGUAAGCAAACUUUGGGUUUUUUAUUUUUAAUAAAUUUAUUUAAAUGUUAAAUACAAUAAAUUACUUUUUGUUUAGAUUAAAUUGUCAGAGGAUGGGGUAGAAUCAUCGGUUCUUAUAAAUUAAGUUAAUGAAUUCAUAAGAACAGACUUUGCAAUCAUAUCAGUUUGUUAAUUAAUAUUUGUGGUCUGGAAAAAUCCUUGAAAUAAAAUAAUUACUCAUGGCACCAAAUAGAUUUUACUAGAAAUUAUUUUGUUAUGUAGUAGUUUUAAGUGAAAAUUGAAACUCUUAAUAUUUCUUUUAACAAUUUUAAAUUAUAAACCUCAUAUAUACUUUAAAAAAUUUGUUUUUAAUAAAUGAUGAAAAAAGUUGACAAUUUUUAAUUUAAAUUCAAAUUGCAGAUUUGACAUGAUAAAUUCAUUACUUUUAUUAACGUUCCCUAGUAAGCUUUAGAUUAGAAAAUCUUGAAAAAGCAAAAGAAAAAAAGUGUACCAACAGUGAAAGGAUUAAUAAUUUCAGAAUGAAUUCAAAGUUUUCCAAUGUAUAUAGCUGCAUAUUAGGAAUUGGUAUUUGUUUACUUGACAAAAAUAGGAUUUUUAUUUUCAGUCUUUGGGUCAUGUAUAAAAAAAUGGAUUUUCAGAAAGUUGGCUUCUGAGGCUUGAACUUCUUUUCUUUACACUUUUGAACCCCAACCAAAAAGAUACACUUGUUUUCUCUGCCAAUUAAAAGUGUUGUGUUAAGGUAUUUUGUAGCAUGAUGCCUUAUAAUUAAAUUAUGCUUGUGUUUCAUAGAAUUAUGGUUGGAAAUAUUUUGAAAACCUAGCUUCACUCUACCCAGAGUGUCAAGUUUCUUUUUAUAUACUCUAACUUUUACAUGAUCAUGUAUUUUGUUUUGAAUAGUUCUCCUUUAUUAUAGUGUCCAAAGUAUAACUCUUGAGACAGUUCUUCCAAGCAAAUAGUUACAAAACAUUUUUCCACUACAUAUUGAUUUUAUCUGGUUUUAAAUACUUCAUUAAUUAUCAUUAUAAUGAUUUUCUUUAUGUGUAUAUGUUUAUGCUUAUGAGUUGUAUUCAUGUAUACUGUAUGUAUAAUAAUUCCCUAGUCAUAAAAGUAUAACAGGAAUUGAUUGUUUUCUUGUGUAUGUGUUAUACAUGUUCAUGUAGGCGUAGGAAUUUUAGCACCAAAAUAUUUUAGUUGUAAAGUGACAUCUUUAUGUAUUUUAUUUCUAACUUGAACUUUGAACAUUGUAUUUUUAGGGAUGUUUUUACUUACAUAUUUACAAACAAAACAAAACAAUAUUCGUCCGAGUAUGUCUCGUGAGACGACUUGUCGCAUUGGGUCGGAGCAUAUAUGACUGUUUAUGCACCGAUGGGUCGGACCCAGGUUUCCAGUUAUCCCAUUAUUGGGUUUGUUUGGUUGUUCCUGGCCGGCGAGGUCGUUGAUGAUCGAGUUAUUCACUUUUUCAGUUAUUCAGUUUACAUUCAUGUCAACCAUAUUAUAUCUCUUGUUAGUAUAAGGUCUACUUUACUAGCUAAGUUGUACCUAAUAGUAUAUUUCAAGGUUUUUGUUAUUAGGAAUAAUUGUGGUUAUUGUUUUUUUCAUAUAUUUAUAUAUUAAGACACAUUUAUAUAAUUAUUUAAUAAAUUCCGUCGUCCACUAUGCUUGCUGGGAUAUAGGCAACACUAUAUAUAUAUUGUAUUCAUUUAUGCCUUAUAAUAGAUAUAAGCGUAUAGGGUAUACAUAUAGUUAUUCAAAUGCAAAAGGUUGACAUGACAUUAUUUCUCUAGUACUGGUACAAGUUAUUGAAUUCAUAUUGUAUAAUGUAUGUUUAUAUUGAUAAUUUGUCUUAUUAAAUGGCAGCUCACAAUAUGCUGUACUUGAGCUAGUCAACAAACAUAA